GACGAACGCUGGCGGCGUGCUUAACACAUGCAAGUCGAACGGAAAGGCCCUGCUUUUGUGGGGUGCUCGAGUGGCGAACGGGUGAGUAACACGUGAGUAACCUGCCCUUGACUUUGGGAUAACUUCAGGAAACUGGGGCUAAUACCGGAUAGGAGCUCCUGCUGCAUGGUGGGGGUUGGAAAGUUUCGGCGGUUGGGGAUGGACUCGCGGCUUAUCAGCUUGUUGGUGGGGUAGUGGCUUACCAAGGCUUUGACGGGUAGCCGGCCUGAGAGGGUGACCGGCGACAUUGGGACUGAGAUACGGCCCAGACUCCUACGGGAGGCAGCAGUGGGGAAUAUUGCACAAUGGGCGGAAGCCUGAUGCAGCAACGCCGCGUGCGGGAUGCCGGCCUUCGGGCUGUAAACCGCUUUCGCCUGUGACGAAGCGUGAGUGACGGUAAUGGGUAAAGAAGCACCGGCUAACUACGUG
rnacentral:rRNA from 1 species